UUGGUAGUACUCCGUCCCGAAAUACUUGUCGCAGAAAUGAAUAAAAAUGAAUAUAUCUAGAACAAAAAUAUGUCUAGAUACAUUCAUUUUUCUGACAAGUAAUUCCGGACGGAUGGACUAGUUG
rfam:Triticum urartu cultivar G1812 contig3347, whole genome shotgun sequence.